rnacentral:rRNA from 1 species
UACGGAGGGUGCAAGCGUUAUCCGGAUUCACUGGGUUUAAAGGGUGUGUAGGCGGGUAUUUAAGUCAGUGGUGAAAUCUCCGGGCUCAAACCGGAAACUGCCAUUGAUACUAUUUAUCUUGAAUUCUGUUGAGGUAGGCGGAAUAUAUCAUGUAGCGGUGAAAUGCUUAGAUAUGAUAUAGAACACCGAUUGCGAAGGCAGCUUACUAAACAGACAUUGACGCUGAGGCACGAAAGCGUGGGGAUCAAACAGG